UUUGAGUUCCUGUCCUUACUUUCUUCAGUGGUGAAUUGUAGCAUGGGAGCAUAAACCAGGUAAACCCCUUCCUUCCCACCUGGCUUUGGUUGUGGUGUUUUAUCAUAGCGAUCGUGUCUAACUAUGACACUUGCAUCCGCCUGUGGCCUGUCCUGAUAAUAAAAUCCAGAACACCAAGUGAAACCUGAAGUUCAGUUAAACGACGAAUAAUUUUUAGUGUAAGCUUGUCGCGUGUAACACGGGAAACAUGCGAAACUAACCACACUUUACCUGGCAUCCAAAUGAAUUAGCAUCCUGUAUUUUUGACUUGCUAAUUCGGAUGAAGGUUGGCUUUAGGGAUGCUGUAGGGAACAGGAGGUAGGUUAAGCCAUUGCAGCUGCCACAAGAUAGGCUACCUUACCUCCUCCCAGCAUUCAGUGGUAGUGAGAAAUGGGGCUAAUACAGCAGCCCCAGUGGCCUCUCAUCACCUCAGAAGUGUUACUCUUUUCAUGAGUGCAUCUCAUUGUCAGGUUUUUAAGCAGAGCUUGCGGGUGGCUGGUCCUUCACUGUUCAGCAUGGAGGACCUGGCCCAGAACAGUUGUGUGGUAACCAUUUCUUAAACGAAUGGACAAGUUUUAAAGCGCACCACCCCAGAAGUGGCUGACGGUCCUUGGUGGCCGUAUUACGUCAGUGUUUGUCAGCUGCCAACACACACUCAAGACAAGUUAUAGAGAGAAGAGGUUUUCAGGCUCUAGGUCAGGAGGUUCCAUAUGAGGCAGGCAUUGAUUUUGGGCCUUUUCUAGGGGAGCCUGAAGGUGAUGGCAGGUAGUUGUGAGAAGCAACAACGUCCACCUCACGGCUAAGAUACAAAACAGAGGAAGAGGAGAGGGCUGGGGUCUUAAAUCCCCUUAAAGAACACACCCACUGUGACCUAAUAUGUCUCACUAAGAGUGACGUCAUAAAGCUUCCAUUGCUGGACGCCAAGCCUCCGGGGACUUUGGGUCAGACAUUUAUCCAAACCAUAUCAAUGUCUAUGGUCCGGUGUUGUCUAUUUCAGGUUGAGUCAGAUGUUGACAGAGUAUGAAGGCCCAUCAGGGCCAUAGAGCAGUAGAGUAGCCUUUGAGUCGGCCUCUUAGUGUGAUUCAGGUAUGGGGUAUAACCAGAACAUUUAGUCUGACUGCUGCACACGGCCUGUCUGAUAACCCCAUCCUGUCCAGCAUGGUGUCUGCACGCUGAACAUUCUUAGCAGAUGGUGGGCUCUAUGCUCAUUACUCUUAAUACGAUUUAUUACCACUGAAGGGACUCGAGGAUAAAAGGAAAACCUGCCAAUAGUGUCACUGGGGCAACAAGCCAGCAGAGCUAUUCUUGGAAAUGUGGAGCUUCGGGCAUGGGACCUUUGAGCAUGAAGCAGCAAAUGGCAAAUACAGUGCAGAUUCCCCUAGGCAGCGUGGUGCUUAGGCUCAUCCUUUACACACCAUGAUGAUGUAAUCCCACCAGCUCCGCUCGGACGCACUUCCUCCUGGAAGAACGUUUACCAGAGUCAGUCUAUGCUAAGUCUGUCACGAUCUAAUUCAGAUGAUGUUCUGCUGCGUGCGUAACUGGAACAUCCCAAGGGAAGGGUCUACGUGAUUUAAUUUUGUACUAUAGCAUCCAGCACACUUCCCGGUUUUAUGAUGUAUGUUUGUAUCAGAUAGAGUAGGCUGGGUUUUUGCCGCAGUACAAAGAUGUGCUUUCAGAUUUUGGCAGCUUAUUUUAACCAAGGGUUACUUUCUUGCCCAUGUCAUUUGUUCUCUGUUGGUCCUGAUGUUGUUUGUCCUCUGUUGGUCGGCAUAGGGAGGAGUUCACUGACUCCUCAUCUGAGACCUAGGGUGUAGGGCAAGUUUUGAACGGAAUGUUGAAAUCCUCUUGAUAGAGCCACAGUAUGGAGCCCCAGGCUGCCUCUCAAAGCUCCUCAGAACAAUUACUUCCACUUAUACCUCAUGACAAACCAAACCACGCAGUCAAGCUGACCUCCUGAGAAGAAGGGAAAUACCAUUCUCCCUCACGGAAGAAGAGAAAAGGUUUUUGAACAAGAAUACAAUCUUCUACAGUGCCCAGGUCAAGGUGGAACUGCAUAGGAUGCAUCCUUCUGAUGGCUUCUUUCGCUUGGCAACGUGUUCAGUUUCCCCUGUGUCUUCUCCUAGAUCGAACAUUCAUUUUGCUUGCUGAGUAACACCUGGGUGCAGGUACUGAAUUCCAGGUCAAGGGUUCUGCUGAAGUGGAAUUAAAAUAAAAUGUGGCUUACACAGUGUGCUGCAGGAGAUGGACUAAACACACCACGGUCCUCACAAGUGAAAGUUUAGUGAAUGACCUGCCACACGGUCUCUCAUGAAAUAUCUGGGUAGAGUUUUCUCUUAUAGGGUACCUUUUUUUUCCAUUUUGGGGAGUUUCCCCAUUGUCACAGAAAAUCCCAUUCGAGGGGUUUCGCUAAAUGUUGGACUCUAUUAGUGAAGAGAGAUCUUCCUGUUGAAACACAGGACUGGAUUUUUGAGUGGAGCAAGAGUGUCCCCUUCACAGAACAUGUUCACGAAUCAAAGCCCUGUAGGAGGAACUGGCAUUUCUUGCUAUCGCAUCGACUCCAGUGGCUGAGUCUUUGGCCUGAAAGGAUCCCUCCAUGCUAAAUGAAGAAGACCUGAUAGAGGAGAGCAAAGAAGAGAAGUGGGAAAUGGAGAGAAUUCAAAGAGCCAGUUCAGAGACUGCCGAGAGGAGAGAUCCAGCUGACUCUGGUUUUCUGUUGUUGAGAAAUAGUCACUGUCCCACAGAAGCUGCCACAGGUGUAACAAUGUGGAGAGAACUCUGUGUGUGUGUUAAUGUAUGUAUUUAUGUGCAUGGGUGUGAUGUGUGUUUGUGUUGUGUGUAUAUGUG
rnacentral:sRNA from 1 species